AUACCGCCCCCUGCUGGACGACCGUGCUGCAAACACCGCAGUGAAGACGAGGCAGGCUGGGAACAGUUGAAAUGGUAAAGGUCAGGGGUCUCAUUUUCUCUUCCUGGUCUAUCUGACAGGGUAAAACAUGUCGCCAGUGAAGACUGCGUAUGUGUCUCUCUCUGGCUCUCAGCAAGGCUCCAGUGAAGGAGAGGACCGGACCGUGGAGCAGCCCGAGGCCCGCUCUCAGUUUCCGAGGCCGAGCAGGAGCGGGAGCCAGCGGGCCGCAGGGGAGCAGACCCGGUCCGUGUUGAAAGUGAAAUUACCAAACCUGCAUUUGUCCAAGAAGGCGACAAAGAGGGACAAAAGCUCGACGACAUGGACCGAGCUCAGCGCACAGACACCCGGCACAACCACGGCCACAGGAGACGGAGCGAGUGUCGGCACAGAUUCUCAGUCUGCUGGUGGAAGUGUUUUCUUGUUCUCCCAAAGCCCCACCAGCAAACCAACCAACGAGAAGGAGAAGGCCAAGUUUGCUGUUCUUAGGACCAUCUCCAAGAUGCUGGAGGAGAACCAGCUUAUUAGACAGAGACUGGCUGCCAUCCGCCAGACCAACUGAGGCUGCACCGAGUGACUGAGAUAGCCCGCAGCCCUAGCCUAGCUGGUCAUUUACCUUUAAAAUACAUCAUCAGUGUUUUAACUAGUUGGUAUGUUUAGUUCUUGAAGCAUGCAGAGUUGAUGUCAGUGUCACAACAAGGAUCUAGUUUGAUGCCUCAUCUGUAUUUGUAAUUGCUUCUACGUGCUUCACAUGUGCUGUGAGGCCAUAAAGCUGAGAACAGUCUUUUACACAGUGUUUAGUGUUAUCAUAAUAAAAUAGUCCAUAUUCAAAUCGUUAUGCUUACAUCUUUAUUCAAAUUAGUCUGGUUAUUUACAGUUUUACAAUAUAACUAAAUU
rnacentral:lncRNA from 1 species